GACGAACGCUGGCGGCGUGCUUAACACAUGCAAGUCGAACGAAGAGCGAUGGAAGCUUGCUUCUAUCAAUCUUAGUGGCGAACGGGUGAGUAACGCGUAAUCAACCUGCCCUUCAGAGGGGGACAACAGUUGGAAACGACUGCUAAUACCGCAUACGAUCUAAUCUCGGCAUCGAGGAUAGAUGAAAGGUGGCCUCUACAUGUAAGCUAUCACUGAAGGAGGGGAUUGCGUCUGAUUAGCUAGUUGGAGGGGUAACGGCCCACCAAGGCGAUGAUCAGUAGCCGGUCUGAGAGGAUGAACGGCCACAUUGGGACUGAGACACGGCCCAGACUCCUACGGGAGGCAGCAGUGGGGAAUCUUCCGCAAUGGACGAAAGACUGACGGAGCAACGCCGCGUGAGUGAUGACGGCCUUCGGGUUGUAAAGCUCUGUUAAUCGGGACGAAAGGCCUUCUUGCGAAUAGUGAGAAGGAUUGACGGUACCGGAAUAGAAAGCCACGGCUAACUACGUG
rnacentral:rRNA from 1 species